GUCGCAAUCCACAUAUAUACAGCACAUGCAUUCUAAAUUACAUUACAAUACAAUACAAUACAAUACAAUACAAGCUUUAAUUCCCAAACUAAAUGUCUAAUAUUAGGUGUGACAAGUUGUGAUGACGAGCCCUGUCAAAAUGGAGCAACAUGUAUCCAAGAAGGACAGAACUAUGACUGUGAGUGUCCUGUUGGUUUCCGUGGAGUGCACUGUGACACAGAGGUUGAAGAACUCCGUCCGUGUAAUAGUAAUCCAUGUCAAAACGAUGGUACAUGCGUGCAUUUGAAUAAUGAGUAUCUUUGCUCGUGUCGUGAUGGCUACAUGGGGCCACAGUGUUCAUCUCACAUAGAUGACACCGGAGAAAAAGAUGAACAGACAGAUGAUAAUGAUUUUGAAUUAGCUAUAGAACCCUGGUGGAUUGCAUUAAUAGUUUUGGUUUCACUUCUACUCGUUGUCUUUAUUCUUAUAGUAAUUUUCACAAGGGGCAGAAACAAGAAAAGUGACGAUGUGUCAUAAUGUCGUACGCAGAGGGUUGUAAACUAACUGACUUGAUACUGUGUCACCUUUACCUUGAAAAAAUAACCUUGAAUCAAUUUACAAAUUGUCCCACUGAAUUGUUAUCACUGUCCAAAGUGUGUACAUUUAAUAUCGAAG